rnacentral:rRNA from 1 species
UAGGGAAUCUUCCGCAAUGGGCGAAAGCCUGCCGGAGCAACGCCGCGUGAGUGAUGAAGGUCCUCGGAUCGUAAAACUCUGUUAUUAGGGAAGAACAAAUGUGUAAGUAACUAUGCACGUCUUGACGGUACCUAAUCAGAAAGCCACGGCUAACUACGUGCCAGCAGCCGCGGUAAUACGUAGGUGGCAAGCGUUAUCCGGAAUUAUUGGGCGUAAAGCGCGCGUAGGCGGUUUUUUAAGUCUGAUGUGAAAGCCCACGGCUCAACCGUGGAGGGUCAUUGGAAACUGGAAGACUUGAGUGCAGAAGAGGAAAGUGGAAUUCCAUGUGUAGCGGUGAAAUGCGCAGAGAUAUGGAGGAACACCAGUGGCGAAGGCGACUUUCUGGUCUGUAACUGACGCUGAUGUGCGAAAGCGAGGGGAUCAAACAGG